rnacentral:rRNA from 1 species
UACAGAGGGGGCGAGCGUUGUUCGGAAUUACUGGGCGUAAAGGGCGCGUAGGCGGCCCGCUAAGUCGAACGUGAAAUCCCCAGGCUCAACCUGGGAACUGCGUCCGAUACUGGCAGGCUUGAAUCCGGGAGAGGGAUGUGGAAUUCCAGGUGUAGCGGUGAAAUGCGUAGAUAUCUGGAGGAACACCGGUGGCGAAGGCGGCAUCCUGGACCGACACUGACGCUGAGGAGCGAAAGCCAGGGGAGCAAACGGG